CCUACGGGAGGCAGCAGUAGGGAAUAUUGCUCAAUGGGGGAAACCCUGAAGCAGCAACGCCGCGUGGAGGAUGAAGGUUUUCGGAUUGUAAACUCCUUUUGUUAGAGAAGAUAAUGACGGUAUCUAACGAAUAAGCACCGGCUAACUCCGUUCCAGCAGCCGCGGUAAUACGGAGGGUGCCAGCGUUACUCGGAAUCACUGGGCGUAAAGAGCGCGGAGGCGGGAUAGCAAGUCAGAUGUGAAAGCCUAUGGCUUAACCAUAGAACUGCAUUUGAAACUGUUAUUCUAGAGUAUGGGAGAGGUAGGUGGAAUUCUUGGUGUAGGGGUAAAAUGCGUAGAGAUCAAGAGGAAUACUCAUUGCGAAGGCGACCUGCUAGAACAUAACUGACGCUGAUGCGCGAAAGCGUGGGGAGCAAACAGGAUUAGAUACCCCAGUAGUC
rnacentral:rRNA from 1 species